rnacentral:rRNA from 1 species
UACGUAGGGUCCGAGCGUUGUCCGGAGUUACUGGGCGUAAAGGGCGCGCAGGCGGCGGUGCUGGCCCGGCGUGAAACGCCCCCGGCUCAACCGGGGAGGGUCGUCGGGGACCGCACCGCUUGAGGGCGGUAGGGGCUGGUGGAAUGCCUGGUGUAGUGGUGAAAUGCGUAGAGAUCAGGCGGAACACCCGUGGCGAAGGCGGCCAGCUGGGCCGACCCUGACGCUGAGGCGCGAAGGCGUGGGGAGCGAACAGG